GAUGAACGCUAGCGACAGGCCUAACACAUGCAAGUCGAGGGGCAGCACAUGAGUAGCAAUACGAUGGUGGCGACCGGCGCACGGGUGAGUAACGCGUAUGCAACCUACCCAUUACAGGGGAAUAACUCUCGGAAACGGGAACUAAUACCGCAUAAUACUAUUAGACAGCAUGGUUUAAUAGUUAAAGAUUUAUUGGUAAUGGAUGGGCAUGCGUGACAUUAGUUAGUUGGUAGGGUAACGGCCUACCAAGACUACGAUGUCUAGGGGUUCUGAGAGGAAGGUCCCCCACACUGGUACUGGGACACGGACCAGACUCCUACGGGAGGCAGCAGUGAGGGAUAUUGUUCAAUGGGCAAUAGCCUGAACUAGCCAAGUCGCGUGCAGGAUGACUGCCUUAUGGGUUUUAAACUGUUUUUAUAGAGGAAUAACAACAGAAACGAGUUUCUGGAUGAAUGUACUUUAGGAAUAAGGAUCGGCUAACUCCGUGCCAGCCGCCGCAGUAAUAC
rnacentral:rRNA from 1 species